UCUCACGAGAUCUGCUGGUUUAAAAGUGUGUGGUGCUUCCCCCUUCACUCUCUGUCUCUCUUCCCCGCUCUGCCAUGGGAAGAUGUGCCUACCUUCCCCUUCACCUUCUGCCGUGAGUGUCAGUCUCCUGAGGCUUCCCAGUCAUGCUUCCUGUACAGCCUGCAGAACUAGUCUCAACAUAGCCAGCUAAACAUCAGAAAGUUGCAUUCUGGCAGACCCCUUUAGUGAACAGGGCACAGAAAGCAUCUGCAGCGUUCAGGAGCUGCUGUUUAAAUAUGCGAAGAGCAGGCACAGCUGGAAGGCACAGCAUCCAGAUCUUUAAGUAUCCAGGAUCCCAUCUUUACACCAAAUCCCCAGUCCCCCAAGAGAAGAAACCCCAUGGGACCGGGCCACACGGUGUUUCCACAGUGUGCCACGCUACGAAGACAUUCUCCCAAGGCUGGUGGGUGACCCAACACCAAUCAGCCCACCCCGUGAUCAGCCCGUCACCCCAGGAGUCUUUUACCUUGGUGGCAAGACUUCCCAUAGCCUCCAGGGGCCCAAACUGCACCUUUCUUAUCUAAAUGCACAGAGAAACAAGUAGCCCCUGCCAUAAUAACCAUUCACUACAGCCGCUGCCAGCUACCUCCCAGUGACUUUGGGGAUGGGCUUUCGCCAGUGACUUGUCAGCCAUGGCACAUGAAGGUCAAGUUCUCUCUCAUAGUACAAAGUAAUCCCUGGAACGCGCAAAGCCAAAGAGAUCAGGUAACGCAAUGCAAAAGACAGCAGAGCUUUCGGCCUGAGAGGGGCCUGCCCAGGACUCUCGAGACUCCGUGAGAAAGGCAGAAGGCCCCCAAAACAGGGUGUGCGUGGCCGUUUUCUGUGUUCCUCAAGAGGUCUCAGGCUGCUAGAAGUCUCCUAUGUGGUACUGAAGAUGGUACAAGGCAGGAGAAGCACAAGCAGAGGAAAACGGAAGGCGUCACAGAGGAGCCGGUUCUCAAGAUUUUAGGCUUUCUAAAAGAGUCUCGCUGUGUUGCCCGGGCUAGAGUGCGAUGGCACC
rnacentral:lncRNA from 1 species